AUUUAUAUAGUAUAAAAAGUAUGCAUGACUUCCAAUCAUGGGGUUUAAAAAAUUUUAAUAUAAAUA
rnacentral:tRNA from 1 species